CACGUAGGGGGCAAGCGUUGUCCGGAUUUAUUGGGCGUAAAGAGCUCGUAGGUGGCUCGGCAAGUCGGGUGUUAAACCCCCAGGCUCAACCUGGGGACGCCACUCGAUACUGCUGUGGCUAGAGUCCGGUAGGGGAGCGUGGAAUUCCUGGUGUAGCGGUGAAAUGCGCAGAGAUGCGGAGGAACACCGAUGGCGAAGGCAGCCCCCUGGGCCAACACUGACGCUCAGGCACGAAAGCGUGGGGAGCAAACAGG
rnacentral:rRNA from 1 species